AAGGCAAUAACCGAAAAGCCUGUAAUAGAGUAGGUA
rnacentral:ncRNA from 1 species